GUCCACGCCGUAAACGAUGCAUACUAGUCGUAUGGGGUAUCGACCCCCUGUGCGACGAAGCUAACGCGAUAAGUAUGCCGCCUGGGAAGUACGGCCGCAAGGCUAAAACUCAAAGGAAUUGACGGGGACCCGCACAAGCAGAGGAGGAUGUGGUUUAAUAUGACGCUACGCGUAGAACCUUACCGAGGCUUGACAUCCUUGGAACCCACUGGAAACAGAGGGGUGCCGCAAGGAGCCAAGUGACAGGUGCUGCAUGGCCGUCGU
rnacentral:rRNA from 1 species